rnacentral:rRNA from 1 species
CGGGACGGGGUGGAGUAAGUGUCUGGGAAACUGCCUGAUGGAGGGGGAUAACUACUGGAAACGGUAGCUAAUACCGCAUAACGUCGCAAGACCAAAGAGGGGGACCUUCGGGCCUCUUGCCAUCGGAUGUGCCCAGAUGGGAUUAGCUAGUAGGUGGGGUAACGGCUCACCUAGGCGACGAUCCCUAGCUGGUCUGAGAGGAUGACCAGCACACUGGAACUGAGACACGGUCCAG